GUUUUGUCAGGAUCCCAAUUCAAAGCACUUAGGAACAACAAUGUGGGAUUCAUCACUUAUUUUUGCCAAAUUUCUUGAACGGAAUUGCAGAAAGGGAAGGUUUUCUCCAGCUAAACUUAAAGGAAAACGUGUAAUUGAACUUGGAGCUGGCUAUGGUGUUUCUGGUUUUGGCAUGGCUUUGCUGGGGUGUGAUGUUAUAGUGACAGACCAAAAAGAGGUUUUGCCAUUAUUGCAGAGAAAUGUCGAACGUAAUAUUUCAAGAGUCAUGCAGAAGAACCCUGGUGUGAUUUGAAAUGCAGAAGAACGUAAUAUCAGCAAGGCCAUGGAGCAAGUGAGCAAGAACCAGGCAUUAGUAGAUGCUAUUGGAGAACCAAUAGUUAAAGCUCAGGAUCGUGCUCAUAGGAUUGGAUAGAAGAAAUAAGUACAAGUUUUCCGAUUUUGCACGGAGACGUUAAGUUUUGAUGGGUUCUCCAAGGUGAUGUUGAUAAGAAUUUCACCUAACUGCAGUUAAUGUGAGAGUUCUUGCUAUUGCUGAUGGUGUUUCUGGUUGGGCAGAAGAGGAUGUGGAUCCUUUAUUGUUCCCAUGUGAAUUGAUGGCAGUCCAAAGAAUUGCAAAGGCUGCUCAGCCUGAUGCAAUUAGAGCAGCAUUUGCAGAAUUCUUCUCAAUGCUUAUUUUUGAUUUUGCUGCUGAAGGUUCUGGCAUGUCAAACAAAGCACCAUAAGGAAAUUACUUUUUUUUUUGGUGAUCAACUCUUCUGAAUCAAACCUAUCAGGUUCAAGAAGAAUUCAUACACAUAUGGUUGAUGGAUGCUGAUUCAUGUCUAUUUUUUGAGAAAGAAUUCAGUUAAUCUUUCUGUAAUAUAUGUAAAAUUGUGUAAAAUUUAGUAUGGUUGAACAAUAUA